rnacentral:tRNA from 1 species
GCUGGGGUAGCAGCUGGGUACCUUCACGGACUGAAAAUCCGCGUGUCCCCAGUUCGAUUCUGGGCCUCGGCAC